UUUCCCGUUUGCCCAUCACACUUCCUACAAUUAAUUGACUGUGCUUAUGGGCUGGAUUUAAAACGGCCAUCAUUGGCAGAGGAAGGAGGUUUUGCUAUCCCUCCUCCUGCAGGAAAUGGCUGAACAGAGAAAA